AUACGUAGGUGGCAAGCGUUGUCCGGAAUUAUUGGGCGUAAAGUGCGCGCAGGCGGUCCUUUAAGUCUGAUGUGAAAGCCCACGGCUCAACCGUGGAGGGUCAUUGGAAACUGGGGGACUUGAGUGCAGAAGAGGAAAGUGGAAUUCCAAGUGUAGCGGUGAAAUGCGUAGAGAUUUGGAGGAACACCAGUGGCGAAGGCGACUUUCUGGUCUGUAACUGACGCUGAGGCGCGAAAGCGUGGGGAGCAAACAGGAUUAGAUACCCUGGUAGUCCACGCCGUAAACGAUGAGUGCUAAGUGUUGGGGGGUUUCCGCCCCUCAGUGCUGCAGCUAACGCAUUAAGCACUCCGCCUGGGGAGUACGGUCGCAAGACUGAAACUCAAAGGAAUUGACGGGG
rnacentral:rRNA from 1 species